GCUGCAUCCAUGGCAUAUGGAGGUUCCCAGGCUAGGGGUCCAAUCGGAGCUGUAGCUGCCCUGCCAGGCUACGCCAGAGCCACAGCAACACGGGAUCCGAGCCGCGUCUGCAACCUACUACACCACAGCUCACAGUUAACCCACUGAGCAAGGCCAGAGAUCGAACCUGCAACCUCAUUGUUCCUAGUCGGAUUCAUUAGCCACUGCGCCACAAGGGAACUCCCUGCUCUUUUAUAAUCCUGCUCCCACCCCUCUCUGCUCUUCUUCCCCAUCCCUAGGCAACCACUUACCUGUUUUUAUCCCUAUAGAGUAGCUGCAUCUUCUAGAAUUUAGCGUAAAUCAGUCAAACAGUAUGAACUCUUCCGUUUGUCUUGUUUAGCAUUAUUUUGAAGUUCAUUUAUGUUAUUGCAUGUAUCAGAAGUUCAUUUCUUUGUAUUGCUGGGUAGUAAGUCCAUUACAUAAAGGAAUUUAUAUUGUUUAUCCAGUCACUUGAUAAUGAACAUUUGGAUUGUUUCUGGUUCUGGCUAUUACCAGUCAAUUUACUGUGAACCCUCACCUACGAGUCUUUGUAUGGACAUAUACUUUCUUUUUCUUUUGAUAGCACAUUGGUGUGGAAUGGCUGGGUCAGAUGGUUAGGUGUAUGUUUAACUUUUUAAGAAACUGACAAACUACUUUUCUAAGUUGUUGAACCUUUUCACAUUCCAGCCAGCAGUAUGUGAGAGUUCCCAUUCCUCUGUGUCAUUGGAAAUGCUUGGUAUGGUUGGUGUGUGGAGGUAUUUCAUUAUGGUUUUAUUAUUAUUAUUAUUGUUGUCUUUUUGGCAUUUCUUGGGCCGCUCCCACGGCGUAUGGAGGUUCCCAGGCUAGGGGUCCAAUCGGAGCUGUAGCCACCGGCCUAUGCCAGAGCCCCAGCAAUGCAGGAUCCGGGCUGAGUCUGCAACCUACACCACAGCUCAUGGCAACGCCGGAUCCUUAACCCACUGAGCAAGGCCAGGGAUCGAACCUGCAACCUCAUGGUUCCCAGUCAGAUUCGUUAUGGUUGGAACUCCUCAUUAUGGUUUUAUCUUGCAUUUCCCUAAGGACUGAUUGUGUUGAGCAUCUUUUCAUGUGCUUAUUUGCCGUCUGUAUAUCUUGUUGGGUAAAGUGUGUGCUCAAGAUAGACUGUAUUUUGAGCCAUAAGACAAAAGUCUCAAUACAUUUAAAAGGAUGCAAAUCAUCCAAAGUAGGUGUGAACUGAAGUUUGGCACUUGCCAUCAGCCUCUACAGGGAGUAAGACAUGAGCCACUGCUGCUGCCGACCCACAGCACCCCCUGAACAAAGCUCAGGAUGGAGACCAGGAGUGAGGCCCUCUGUGCUCUGGGAAAACUGGAAGAACAGGUCUUCAGAUAAGAAUUUUUAGAAGAUUUCCGGAGCCCAAUUCUUAAAUCUCCUCAUAUCUAGAAAAACACUAAAAUCCCUUAACGAUGACCGAUGUGUGUGACUAGUAGCAAACUUCUGUAAGAUGUGUGCAGGCCGCAUGCUCCUGCCCCUUCACCCUUAAGACUUCUAUCUUGAUAUUUCUCCUUUCCUUUUUGGGGCAGUAUUUCAGAGCUAUCUGGGGCAGUAGUUAGCGGACAAAGCAAAAGAUACCUUCUGUGAGAACAGCCACUCCCAAGGGUGGGCCACUGAGCCCUGAGAGAACUCAGGAAAGAGACCAAGCCUGGCCCACAUCAGAGGGCCUAUCAAAGGAGUGAUUCCAGGAAGCCCAGACCCUUACAUCUUCCCAUGGAAAUUGGUUUUCUAUAAAUCUUUUUCUGUAAAUCUGGUUAUCAGUAAACCUUUUGUUCCUACUACCUUCUCUUUGUCACAAAAACUCAUUUAUCCUAGCUGCCCACCCCCACUUCUUGGAGGGGUUUCUCGGGGCUACCUGAGAUGCUCUCUACCGGGCUUAAGUCCAAAUUUCACCUCAAAUAAAACUUAACUGUCAACUUGCAGGUUGUAUUAUUAUUAUUAUUAUUAUUGUCGACAUAGGUUUUCAGACUAUAAUGGAGUUAAAUUAGAAGCCAGUAACAAAAUAUUUGAAAAAUCCCCAGCUAUUUGGAUCCUGUCCUUGUUGCCGUUAAAUCUGAUUCUUGUAGCUUUAUAGAAGAUGUUCUUUUUCUCUGGAAGCUCUUAGAAUUUUCUUUCUCUUUGAUGUGCUUAAAUUUCCCAAUACUGUAUCUGAGUUCUUACUCUCUCUUAUUUGGUACUCUAUUCUUUAGUCUGAGGUCUUUCAUCUUUCUUUAAUUCAGGGCUAUUUAUUUUUAUUAUUUCCUUAAAUAUUUUCCCCUCCCUUGAAUUUUUUCUUCCUUGGAUUCCUGUUUUCAUUAUGUCUGCAUGUCUGCUUUUAUCCUUCAUGCAUUUAGCUUUUUCUUUUUUUAAUUUAAUUUUUAUUUUAUAUUGGAGUUUAGUUGGUUUACACUGCUAUGUUAGUUUCAGGUGUACAGCAAAGUAAUUCAAUCAUACAUUUACAUAUAUCCAUUCUUUUUCGGAUUUUUUUCCCGUAUAGCUCAUUAUAUCACUUUGAGUUCCCUGUGCUAUACAGUUGGUCCCUGUUGAUUAUUUAUUUUGUGUAUAGUAGUGUGUAUAUGUUAAUCCCAAACUCCUCAUUUAGCCUCCCCAGACAUCUCUCCCCUUUGGUAACUCUUAAGUUAGUUUUCAAAGUAUGUGAGUCUGUUUCUCUUUUGUAAAUAAGUUCAUUUGUACCUUUUUUUUUUUUUUUUAGAUUUAACUGCUUAUUUCUAUAUUUAUCUCUCUAUCCCUUUUUUCCCUCCCUUCUGGGAGAUUUCCCUAGUCUGUUCUUUCAGUUUUGCAAUUUAUUCUUUAGUUAUAGUCUGUUUGCUAUUUAUCCCAUCCACUAUUCUAUCUUUAAGUGCUGCUGUUGUGGUUAUUGCUGUUUUAAAUAUACUGAAUCUUUCCAUUUGGCUCUCUUUUUGACUUUUUUUCUUGCUUCAUAUUACCAGUAUCUUUUUGACAACAGUGGUUGUGCUUUUUAAAAAUUCUUUAUUUGUUCUAGUAUGUCUGCUUGAUUCAAUCUAUGUUGUGCAGUUUGUGGUUUUCCUUUUAUAGUGAUUCUGACCUCAGGUUUCAGGCUGUGAGUGGAUGGUCCCCUAGAGUUAUUGGGUACCAGAUGAGAUACUACAGCUCACGCCCUGUUAGAUGUAAUUAGCCAUUCCUUAUGCGGGCUGGCGAAGAGGCUGAGAGGAGUGGGUCUCAGGGCAGCUGGUCAGCUGGUGGCUUCUGACUCCCAGGGGGGACAGGGUGGGCAGUAGUCCAAAAGAAAUCUAGGAGAGGCAGAACAGAAACAAACAGCAUCUCUCUCACCUGUUAUUCCACCUCUGCAUGCCCCUCCACCCAGAGCUGAUAAUGGCCUUUAGUCUCUCCAGAGAUUAUUCACAGUUUUUAAGAUUAAUGUAUCCUCUCUUUUGCAGUCUCCCCAGAGCUGAUUCCCCUUGCCCUGUCUCCACUAAACAUCUUAUCGUACUUUGUGGCCUAGCAGAGGGGAAUAGGUUACUGAGAGCUUUUGAGUUUUGCUGGAAGAAAACUAAUCUUGCAGCAGAGCACAAUAAAAAGAGGAAGGAAACAGUUACUAGCCUAAGUAAGCAAUAACAAAGAUCUGAAUUAAUAGUUUGUAUGUUGAAGAAGAUUUUUUUUCCCUUAUAAAUGAUUUACUUGUUAGUUGAGCCCAAACUUGAAGAAGCUAUUGUUUUAUUUUGCUCCCCCCACCCAACAUGUUUGUUCUUAGUUCUUUUUUUUGGGAGUGAAUUGCAAACUAAGCACUGGGAGAAAUUCAAGAUGUUAAAAGUGAAAAAGGAAGCUAAAUGAGGCCAGAUUGGAGAGCAAAUUGUUAUUAUUUAAAACUUAUGGACCACCCUGACUAUGACAAGUUCUAUUUAAAAAAGUACAGAAACAUGAUUCCUUCCAUUGAACAGCUAGCCUUUUUCGGGAAAUAUAUACCACAUUUCUUUGUGUGUUUUACUCCACAUACUGCCAAUAUUUAAACUUGUUUAAUUUGAGGAAUUUCCUUUUAGUUUUCUUUCCCUUAAUUUUUUUUUUUUUUUGAGGGCGGGUUCCCUUUCUCUUUUUAUAAAAAUAAAGAAUAUGAAUAGAUGUUAUGUUCACUUUAUUGGCUGAAAGUUGGUGUCUAGGACACUAUCUUUACCCUUCAUAGAGCAAGCUAGAUGGAGCAUUUGUUACCCCCUUGCAACUAUUCAUUGCCUUUGCUUCUCUGCUUGACAGUAACUGGCUCUAUUUUUAUUUUAAACUAAAAUCAAAUAAAUCAAUUUGAACUGUACCAUGCAAGAUUAAUGUUAACUAUAAACAUAUGAAAACAUGCUCAAUCUAAGUAAGACAAACAACUUAUUUUCUUUUUUUUUUUUUUUUUGCCUAUCAAACUGCUAACAAUUAAAUGUAAAGAGGGUUUUGGCAUUAAGAAUUCUCAUAAAAUGCUGAUGGGAAGGAUACUCAUAGAUACAGCUGUAGCUGCCUCUUUGUGGCUGCCACCACAUCCCAUAUACAUAGGUUCUCAAACUUCAGCUCAGAAUAACUUAGAGAGCUUGUUAAAACAUGGAUUGCUUGGCCCCCCUCCUAGAUUUCUGAUUCAGUAAGCCUGGGGUGAUGCCUGAGAAUUUGCUUGGCUAGCAAGUUCCCAGGCCAUGGUGACGCUGGUGGCCCAGGACCAACUUCGAGAACCAUUGGUUCUCAACCCUGGCUGUACCUGAGGAUCUUAAAAAGAAUACCAUCGCCAAAAACUGCCAGUGCUUAGAUCUGCUCCCAGUGCUUCUAGUUUAAUGGUUUGAAAGGGGCCGGGAUAUGUGUAUUUUAUAAACGCUCUUUUUUAAAGGUGAGUUUAAGGGGCUCUUUGGGUUGGACUGAGAAGACCGCUGUCUUCUCAUUCUCCAUUUGUCCUCCAAAGGAACUCAUUGAGUUGC
rnacentral:lncRNA from 1 species